rnacentral:rRNA from 1 species
AAUAGAUACCCUGGUAGUCCAUGCCGUAAACGGUGGGCGCUAGGUGUGGGGGUCUUCCACGACUUCUGUGCCGUAGCUAACGCAUUAAGCGCCCCGCCUGGGGAGUACGGCCGCAAGGCUAAAACUCAAAGGAAUUGACGGGGGCCCGCACAAGCGGCGGAGCAUGUGGAUUAAUUCGAUGCAACGCGAAGAACCUUACCUGGGCUUGACAUACGCCGGAUCGCCGCAGAGAUGUGGUUUCCCUUGUGGCCGGUGUACAGGUGGUGCAUGGUUGUCGUCAGCUCGUGUCGUGAGAUGUUGGGUUAAGUCCCGCAACGAGCGCAACCCUUGUCUUGUGUUGCCAGCACGUUAUGGUGGGGACUCGCGAGAGACUGCCGGGGUUAACUCGGAGGAAGGUGGGGAUGACGUCAAAUCAUCAUGCCCCUUAUGUCCAGGGCUUCACACAUGCUACAAUGGUCGGUACAGUGGGUUGCGAUGCCGUGAGGUGGAGCUAAUCCCUUAAAGCCGGUCUCAGUUCGGAUUGGAGU